GAUGAACGCUGGCGGCGUGCUUAACACAUGCAAGUCGAACGGUGAAAGAGGAGCUUGCUCCUCUGGAACAGUGGCGAACGGGUGAGUAACACGUGAGUAACCUGCCCUUGACUCUGGGAUAAGCGUUGGAAACGACGUCUAAUACCGGAUACGAGCUUCGGAGGCAUCUCCAGGAGCUGGAAAGAACUUCGGUCAAGGAUGGACUCGCGGCCUAUCAGCUAGUUGGUGAGGUAACGGCCCACCAAGGCGACGACGGGUAGCCGGCCUGAGAGGGUGACCGGCCACACUGGGACUGAGAUACGGCCCAGACUCCUACGGGAGGCAGCAGUGGGGAAUAUUGCACAAUGGGCGCAAGCCUGAUGCAGCAACGCCGCGUGAGGGACGACGGCCUUCGGGUUGUAAACCUCUUUUAGUAGGGAAGAAGCGAAAGUGACGGUACCUGCAGAAAAAGCACCGGCUAACUACGUG
rnacentral:rRNA from 1 species